UCACAUCGUUAAGGAACGUUCAAGAUAGUUUCUCGCAGCUCUCCUUGAUGUGCAUAUCGUCUUGAUACUAACAAGAGAUUGUACUAAUUCUCGAACUAGUUUUUUUUUUAUUACAAAACUAUAAAUCGUACAAAAUUCAGUAAUACAAACAGUAUAUAAAGGAAUAAUAGUUCGACCAUCAAAUAUCUAUAAAAAUAGUAGAAAGCUGUGAAAAAUUGUAAUCAGUGCGGCAAGAUGAACGAUGCAAAACGAAAAUUUUUGUUAUAUAUAACGUGCAUGCUGUCGAUUGUGUUUGUAUCUUUAUGCAUUGGCUUAUCUCUGGGACUUCCCGUCGAUGAUUUUGUAAAAGGCAGCGAUGCACUUAAGUCAGCUCCACUUAUAGACGGACACAAUGAUUUACCGUUCAGCUUGUAUGCCAAUGUGAACAAUGAUUUGAGUAAGUUUCAAUUUGAUAAAAAUCUAACGGAUGACAAAGUCUGGGGAAAAGCAGCUUGUAAAUCAUGUAUGACGGAUUUGCCUCGUUUGACUGCUGGAAAAGUAGGAGGCCAGUUUUGGGUUGCUUACGUCGAGUGCAAAUCUCAAUACAAGGAUGCUGUGCAACUUACGCUCCGGCAAAUCGACGUUGUCAAACGAUUGGUUGAGAAGUAUCCCAAUAGGCUAGAAUUUGUCACCAAAGCUGAUGAUAUAGAAGCCAGUUGGAGAAGUGGAAAAAUAGGAUCCAUGAUAGGAGUUGAAGGAGGACAUUCUUUGGAUUCUAGCUUGGCAGUUUUGAGACUUUAUUACGAACUCGGGGUUCGUUAUGUUACACUGACUCACACUUGCAAUACUCCAUGGGCAGACGCAUCACCGGUAAACAACAAGCCGGUUUUCAAUUUGACCGAAUUCGGAAAGGUCGUUGUUUGGGAGAUGAACCGUUUGGGUAUGUUGGUGGAUCUGUCCCACGUGUCGCACGUCGUUAUGCGUCAAGUACUCGCUGCAACGAAAGCACCGAUUAUUUUUUCGCAUUCGUCUGCUUUUGCACUCUGCAACAAUUAUAGAAAUGUGCCAGACGACGUUUUGCAUCAAGUCAAAUCGAACAAUGGAAUAUUGAUGGUCAAUUUCUACAACAAUUUUGUAAACUGCGAUAAAUCGAGAAACGCUACGUUGGAGGACGUCGUUGCUCACAUAAAUUACAUAAGGACUCUCAUUGGCGUGGACCACGUCGGCAUUGGUGCAGAUUAUAACGGAGUCGAUGAGACACCGACAGGACUCGAGGACGUCUCCAAAUACCCGGCGCUAUUCGAUCGACUUCACGCCAAUAAAGAGGGCGAGCCGAAGUGGAGCAGGGAGGAUCUGGAGAAACUCGCAGGAAGAAAUCUUAUCAGGGUCUUCAAGGAAGUUGAACUUGUUCGUAUACACUCCGAGUUCGCGACUUGCUGACAACCCAGCUACCUUACGAAGAUAUCAUCUCUGGCAAGGAAUUGAAGGUUGCCCAGGAAAAACAGGGAUUAAAGCCAGGCGCUUGUCAAACUGCGAAAGAAUGGGAGCAGGUCGAGGAGCGAAAUUAAAGCUGGUGGAUCGCGGAGGCUCGAUCAUCGAGCAUAUUACAUUCACGUAAACACACGGCGAACGAGGAAACCAAUGACGCAGACUUUCGUAUUAUAAGCUGCUGGGCAUUGAUUUAUAAAAAUUAGAAACGAACGAUUUUAGACCUUGAAUCAAUAAAGAGGAUGGCUGAUGUAUAGGUAAAAAA